rnacentral:rRNA from 1 species
UACGAAGGGGGCUAGCGUUGCUCGGAAUCACUGGGCGUAAAGGGUGCGUAGGCGGGUCUUUUAAGUCAGGGGUGAAAUCCUGGAGCUCAACUCCAGAACUGCCUUUGAUACUGAAGAUCUUGAGUUCGGGAGAGGUGAGUGGAACUGCGAGUGUAGAGGUGAAAUUCGUAGAUAUUCGCAAGAACACCAGUGGCGAAGGCGGCCUCACGUGCCCGAUACUGACGCUGAGGCACGAAAGCGUGGGGAGCAAACAGGG